rnacentral:rRNA from 1 species
UGGGCCCUACGGGAGGCAGCAGUGAGGAAUAUUGGUCAAUGGUCGGGAGACUGAACCAGCCACGCCGCGUGAGGGAUGAAGGUACAGAGUAUCGUAAACCUCUUUUGUCAGGGAACAAAGGCGGGGACGCGUCCCCGGAUGAGUGUACCUGAAGAAAAAGCAUCGGCUAACUCCGUGGCAGCAGCCGCGGUAAUACGGAGGAUGCGAGCGUUAUCCGGAUUUAUUGGGUUUAAAGGGGGCGCAGGCGGUCUGUUAAGUCAGCGGUCAAAGCCCGGGGCUGAACC